AAUAUUAAGGCAGCUAAGGAUGAGUCAUCACAAGGCCGGUAACUAAAGCGUGAAUAAAUGAAAGUGACUUCCAAAAUGCACUUUCUUUCAUCCGAUGAUUCCUCAUUUAUUUUCUACAGAUUAGAAUCCUUCUUUAAGCCAGCUAAGAAUCUAUCUAUACCUGCUAAGAGGAAGGUAUGUCAUCUUGAUAUAUUUGAGUACUGAGCACCUAGAAUUUACCUUCUUUUAAUGUAUGUGAAGGUGUAAUGUCACACAUUGCUCUAGCAAAGAGAUGUCUUCAGAUGCAACUUUUGAUGGAUGAAUAGUACUCCCUUUAACUCACUUCAUAAGCCAUUGAUUGCCCUAGCGAUGCACAAAUUUUUAGAUCUUUGUGAUCAUUUUUAAACUGUUGGUGGUAGUGUUGUAAAUCAACGGUAGUGUGUUGCCAUGCCCCUGCUGCUUAUGCCCGAUUAGUCUCAUAUAACUUUACAGAUGUGCUAAUGGUGUUGCAUCAUCCUAUUCAUGAAAUCAAUUAGAUAAACAAAAGCACCAGCCUGCUUAUACGGAUCUGUUAAGAAUUUCGGCCUGAUUAACAACCAUAAUUGCAAUGGAUGACAGGAAAGCAAAUGCACACUUAAAUCCCCCAAUCUGGCGUUCAAGCCUAAGACAUGCUCUACACAAGUCUCUGUAAAUCUCCAGCACAGGUUCCUUGACAACUUUAAAAUGCCAACCAUGGUCCUGGGUUUGAGGAACUUCAAACAGCCGUUGAGAGUUGUCUGCCUCCCGACAUGGAGCUAAAUGAUGGUGGAUGAAACCCCUGAAUAUAUUGCCAAAGCAGCAACUAACAAGAGUUCCAGGCUGGUGGUGGUAAGAAAUAGUUUAGUUGGCACAUAACAGAUCAUGGAACAGCAAAACCAUCGACAUCUAUGUCAGGUACUUGAGGUUUGCAUGCAAAUUACGAGUGGAAACUUGAUGUCAGUUUGUAGUCUCAUGCAGUCUUUGCUGGAUACCAUCAUAUCAUGGAAGGUUUAUGGGUGCUGAAUGCUGAUUUAACUUUCAUUCAUGACUACUUGUUUAUCUUGUUGGACUACUAUCGUGUGUUUCAUGUGUAAGUUUCUCAGUGCGCAUACAUUUGAUGGGUUGACUGAUAACUCGGAAGAUGGAGAUACGAAACUACACCAGCUUGAUAUCGAAUAGUUAGUAGAUGACUUCGAUUUGUUGCCACUUAUGUUACUAACAAAUCAUAUCAAAACUCCAAUUACAAAUUUAACUUGUUUAUUGUCUCUUACAUCGAGUCAUAUCCAAAUUAACAAAUUACAUAACAUAAUUUAGGAGGAUUAUUUCGAAGCACCAUAAGAACAUUAUCAUGUUAGGAACUGAAAAUUGGAUGCUAGAAAGAGCCAGCAAUCAUAAAAUAAAUUUGCAUGGAGAAGCAGAGGAGUUACCAAGAAACUGGAAUUAGCUAAUGCAUGCAAAAUUUAAAUGGACAUUUAGUAUACUAUAGCUUAUAAUGUAUAUAAGUAAAUUGUAAUAUGAUCUUUAAUCAGAUCAUAUAUUUUAUUUAUUUGUGUAGUAUAAAUCCUAUCAUCUGUUGGGUCAUUUACCUAUGUGUAUAGUACAUUAAGGUAAAUGAAAAUUCAACCAUUGAUUUGGUCCACCUAUAUUUGUUGAUAGAGUAUAUGCCACAGUGAAAAUGGUUAACUCACACGGUAGGUGUAAGAGCCCAGUUACAUUGUGCAUAUUUUGCAAAUGAUCAAGUCCUAACUGCUUUAUCUUUAGGUCACAUGUAAAUCAAAAUCUAUA